UAUGGUCCUCCGGUUUACGAGUCACCCUCAUCGCCAGGCACUUCAGUAAAUUCACCGGCACCCGCUUCCUCAAGAGAGGAGCCAACUGCGAGGUACCCCUCCACCACAUCCCGUUGCCAUGAUAACAGGACAAACUCUGGAAACGAGAGAAGAGGAAGCAUGAUAAGAUCCUUCCUGAGGAGCUCUUCCCAGCAGUCAUCAACCUCAACCAGUUCCUCUCUCCAGAACAUUACAUUGACUACAUCGCCUGGGACAUGGCCCGGAACUGCAAG
ensembl:lncRNA